rnacentral:rRNA from 1 species
GGUGUGGUUGUUGCUGGUUCUUUCGAGGGCAUGUGCACGCCCACCAUCCUCAUCUCUCCACCUGUGCACCUCUUGUAGACUUGGAUUGACUUUCCGAGGCAACUCGGUCGGGAGGAUUGCCGGCGUCAGCUGGCUUUCUUUGCAUUUCCAGGUCUACGUUUUUCAUAUACCCCAUUGUAUGUAACAGAAUGUAACAUUGGGCCCUUGUGCCUAUAAACYUUAUACAACUUUCAGCAACGGAUCUCUUGGCUCUCGCAUCGAUGAAGAACGCAGCGAAAUGCGAUAAGUAAUGUGAAUUGCAGAAUUCAGUGAAUCAUCGAAUCUUUGAACGCACCUUGCGCUCCUUGGUAUUCCGAGGAGCAUGCCUGUUUGAGUGUCAUUAAAUUCUCAACCWUUAUCACCUUUUGUUGAUAAUGGCUUGGAUAUGGGGGUUUAUUUUGCUGGCUUCUUUACAGAUGGUCAGCUCCCCUUAAAUGCAUUAGCCGGUGCCCCGCGUGGACUGUCUAUUGGUGUGAUAAUUAUCUACGCCGUGGACAUCUGCAAUCAUAUGGGUUUGCACUGCUUCCAACYGUCUGUUSAAUCAGACAAUACAUGACAAUUUGACCUCAAAUCAGGUAGGACUACCCGCUGAACUUAAGCAUAUCAAUAAGCGGAGGAAAAGAAACUAACAAGGAUUCCCCUAGUAACUGCGAGUGAAGCGGGAAAAGCUCAAAUUUAAAAUCUGGCGGUCUCCGGCCGUCCGAGUUGUAAUCUAGAGAAGUGUUAUCCGCGCUGGACCGUGUACAAGUCUCCUG